rnacentral:rRNA from 1 species
UACGAAGGGGGCUAGCGUUGCUCGGAAUCACUGGGCGUAAAGCGCACGUAGGCGGCUUUUAAGUCAGGGGUGAAAUCCUGGAGCUCAACUCCAGAACUGCCUUUGAUACUGAGAGCUUGAGUCCGGGAGAGGUGAGUGGAACUGCGAGUGUAGAGGUGAAAUUCGUAGAUAUUCGCAAGAACACCAGUGGCGAAGGCGGCUCACUGGCCCGGUACUGACGCUGAGGUGCGAAAGUGU